rnacentral:rRNA from 1 species
AUUGAACGCCGGCGGCAUGCUUUACACAUGCAAGUCGAACGGCAGCGCGGGGCAACCUGGCGGCGAGUGGCGAACGGGUGAGUAAUAUAUCGGAACGUACCCAGCAGUGGGGGAUAACGUAGCGAAAGUUACGCUAAUACCGCAUACGAUCUACGGAUGAAAGUAUGGGACCGCAAGUCCUUUUGCUUUUGGAGCGGUCGAUAUCUGAUUAGCUAGUUGGUGAGGUAAAGGCUCACCAAGGCGACGAUCAGUAGCUGGUCUGAGAGGACGACCAGCCACACUGGAACUGAGACACGGUCCAGACUCCUACGGGAGGCAGCAGUGGGGAAUUUUGGACAAUGGGCGCAAGCCUGAUCCAGCAAUGCCGCGUGAGUGAAGAAGGCCUUCGGGUUGUAAAGCUCUUUUGUCAGGGAAGAAACGGUAGAGGCUAAUAUCCUUUGCUAAUGACGGUACCUGAAGAAUAAGCACCGGCUAACUACGUG